AGGCUGGGCUCGUUUAUUUCAGCUGUGUAAUGUUUUGGGGGUAGGUGGGAGAAAACGUUAAUUGGGACAAGCUGUGUCUCUGCACAGUAGGUACUAAUUUUCCCGUGCGUGUUGGACUUCAGUACUUCUGCUUGAGUCCCAGAAGAAGGUGGCUUUUUUCUUUUGUCAGUGGUUUUGCUCCGUAUUGUUUGAGGUUUUUCUUUCCCGUUUUCCUUAUGAUGUCAGAAGGCAGGACGUACAACGAGGAGAAGAGCAGAAAAUAAGCUGAGGAUGAAGAGGCAGCUGACUACCUGGCCUACUGCUGUGAAGGGAGGCUGUGCUAAUGCUGUUCAGACAUGCCUGGUAUUGCAAGGAAGAGCUGGUUACCCCAGGUCACACAGUGCAGCUCUACCUGUGAGCACCUGGCUUUCCUGUUCAGCCAGAUGCUGUACCUGCUCAACCUCUUGUCUUCCUCAGUGCCUCACGCUGCAUUUUAUCACGACCAGCUUGUGGCAGCCGUUCCACUUUGUGCCAGCAAGAGACACAAGUUAGAGGCUACCACCCAGAUACAGAAGCAAACUGGUUAGCUCACCACCUGCCUCUGCCAGUGCUUAAGGUCAGCUACUGGAAAAAGUUAAACACCAGCUACUGCAGCCAGGUAUGAUCCUACAGAGGGGCCUUCAUUUACAACUGUUAUUCUUCACUCAUUUUUGUUCAAGUCUGUAAGACAUUACACUGGAAAAACAGCCUGUGAUCUGCAAAGCAAGGACAGCAAGAUGUGUGCAGGUUCAGGGGUUUUAAGCAUUCAGGUUUUCCUCUUGAAAUCUUCCAUUUCUGUUAACAAGUGGACACUGACCAUCACCGAAAAUGGCCAGGACAGCUUGUCGAUAAUGGCAAGGUUUUCUUCACUUUUCCUACCCUUAAAGUAUUAGAGGAGCUUGAGCAACACUUUUCCUGGCUGACACAAAGGGCAGAGGCAUCAGCUUGGCAGAGCGUUGCAGCCCAAGGACUUCUCAAAUUUGCCUAAACGCUGUGACCCUCUGAUCUCUCUGCUCAGUAGCCUUUGCUGUUGGCCAUAGGCUUGGGUCUGGUUAUGAUUUUAAUAAACAGAGCUCAGGGAAGUUACCAGUGACUGUAGGAAAAAAAAGCAAACAAGCAGACCAUAAAUCAGGCCAUUGCAUGGAUUCAGAACACACUAAUAAAAUCGGAGCUUCCAAUAAAUUUCAUUUCAGGCAGAGCAGAAAUGGUUUCUCAGUUGAGAGCUGGAGAUGAGCAAUACUUUCAGGUGUGUGUCAGGCCAAUGCUGUAGGCUUACAGCCAUGUUUGCAGGCAAGUAGCAAAGGCCGGGCCAGAGCCAGGCCCUCGCACCAGCUGCACUUGAGUAAGAAGUGAGUAAAAGUCAAGAUUCUCCAAUUCUCUGAGCAAAGCUGAAUCUAAUUAAAUAUUUAUUUUUUCCUCCUCUCAAA